GGACGAACGCUGGCGGCGUGCUUAACACAUGCAAGUCGAGCGGUAAGGCCCCUUCGGGGGUACACGAGCGGCGAACGGGUGAGUAACACGUGGGUGACCUGCCCUCAGCUCUGGGAUAAGCCUGGGAAACUGGGUCUAAUACCGGAUAUGACUCCAUGACGCAUGUCGUGGGGUGGAAAGCCUUGUGCGGCUGGGGAUGGGCCCGCGGCCUAUCAGCUUGUUGGUGGGGUGAUGGCCUACCAAGGCGACGACGGGUAGCCGGCCUGAGAGGGCGACCGGCCGCACUGGGACUGGAGACACGGCCCAGACUCCUACGGGAGGCAGCAGUGGGGAAUCUUGCGCAAUGCGCGAAAGCGUGACGCAGCAACACCGCGUGAGGGAAGACGGCCU
rnacentral:rRNA from 1 species